AAUGAACGUUGGCGGCGUGGAUUAGGCAUGCAAGUCGAGCGCGAACCCCGCAAGGGGUGAAAGCGGCGAAAGGGAGAGUAACGCGUGGGUAUCUGCCCUCGGGACUGGGAUAGCUGCGGGAAACUGCAGGUAAUACCAGAUGACGUCCCCGGACCAAAGGUGUGAUUCCGCCUGAGGAUGAGCCCGCGUCCUAUUAGCUAGUUGGUAGGGUAAUGGCCUACCAAGGCAAUGAUGGGUACUGGGUGUGAGAGCACGACCCAGCUCACUGGGACUGGGACACGGCCCAGACACCUAAGGGUUGCUGCAGGCGAGAAUCUUCGGCAAUGGGCGAAAGCCUGACCGAGCGACGGCGCGUGUGGGAUGAAGGCCUUCGGGUUGUAAACCGCUGUCAGAGGGGAGGAAUGGGCGGAGGGUAAUCUCCUCGUUUUGACCUAUCCUCAGAGGAAGUACGGGCUAAGUUCGUGCCAGCAGCCGCCGUAA
rnacentral:rRNA from 1 species